rnacentral:rRNA from 1 species
UACGAACUGUGCAAACGUUAUUCGGAAUCACUGGGCUUACAGGGUGCGUAGGCGGCUUGUUAAGUAGGGUGUGAAAGCCCCCGGCUCAACCGGGGAAUUGCGCCCUAAACUGGCGAGCUGGAGUGAGAUAGGGGUGUGUGGAACUUCCGGUGGAGCGGUGAAAUGUGUUGAUAUCGGUGGGAACGCCAGUGGCGAAAGCGGCAGACUGGACCCUUCCUGACGCUGAUGCGCGAAAGCUAGGGGAGCAAACGGG